rnacentral:rRNA from 1 species
ACGGGAGGCAGCAGUGGGGAAUAUUGCACAAUGGGCGAAAGCCUGAUGCAGCGACGCCGCGUGAGCGAUGAAGUAUUUCGGUAUGUAAAGCUCUAUCAGCAGGGAAGAAAAAUGACGGUACCUGACUAAGAAGCUCCGGCUAACUCCGUGCCAGCAGCCGCGGUAAUACGGAGGAUCCGAGCGUUAUCCGGAUUUAUUGGGUUUAAAGGGUGCGCAGGCGGCCUGUUAAGUCAGCGGUUAAAUCGUGGAGCUCAACUCCAUCUCGCCGUUGAUACUGAUGGGCUUGAUUGCGGUUGAGGUUGGCGGAAUUCGCCGUGUAGCGGUGAAAUGCAUAGAUAUGGCGAAGAACUCCGAUUGCGUAGGCAGCUGACCAAGCCGCGAAUGACGCUCAUGCACGAAAGUGCGGGGAUCGAACAGGAUUAGAUACCCUGGUA